rnacentral:lncRNA from 1 species
CCUGAUUUAAUACAGUAUAACCUCAGGUUCAGUUUCAAAUGUGUUGCUACUACCAAUUUAAAGCUUGGUCUCAUAGUUACAAACCUUGAGAAGCGAAACAUUGAGGUUGAACGGCAUGUCGUUGAUGGAAGGUAUUUUGUAGUUUCCGGGUCCGCAAGUGAGUAAACUUCCUGGUUUAAUCCAUUUAUGAGCUGCAUCUCCCCAUUUGAGUUCUUCUAAAGCUACCCAACCCAGUCCUUGUACAAACGCUCCUUCUAUCUGUAAAUAGUCAUUUCAGAUACAACACUAUUCUUCUAAAAGAUAAGAAAGUAUAGGAGGGUAAGGGAAGAACACGCACUUGUCCAACAUCAAUGGCUGGGUUAAGAGAAUAUCCGAGGUCCAACAUUAUAUCAGCUGCUCUUGUGUGGAAAUCACCAGUCAAUGUAUCUAUCUCAACUUCCGCAAAGGCAGCUCCAUAUGUGUAAUAUCUAAAGGCGUUCCCUUUUCCAGAUAUCCAGUCAAACCCAAGAUCAGGAACUAUGUGAAAACCAUGAGCUGAUAGGUCUAUCCGUUGAAAGUAGCAGGCACUUACUAGCUACAUAUACUCAGAGAGAAGGACAUUUUUUUCAUCAAAAUAGGCAUCUAACUCUUCUGAGUUUAUAUCACGUUGCAAGAUAAAAAAAAUACCUCAGUAAAUGUGUUGAAAUUGUGCUUAGAUGCAACAGGUUCCAUUCUUGCUAUAAUCUGCUCACAAGCGUCUAAAACUGCAGCACCAUACAUAUCAGAGCUCGCAGAAGCAGCAGUUGGUGACGCAUUAGGAACCUAUCAAGAGACCAUCAAAACGAUAAGAGAGGAAAAACAUUUUUGUCUGAUUAUGUCUCGGCCCAAAGUGUGCAGCUUUGUAAUUGACUUAGAUGUACCUUGUCAGUGCUUGUCUCUGACACGAAAACUGAGCUAAGUGGAAUGUUAAAGGCGGAUGCAGCAACUUGAGCGACCUUUGUAUGCAAUCCUUGACCCAUCUCCACACCACCAUGAGUCACUAAAACAGUCCCGUCAGUGUAAACAUGAACAAGAGCUCCGGCCUGUAACAUCCCCAUAAUGUGGAGGGAAAAAUAAAAGAUAAGUAUUUUAAAAUUUAGAUUCUAGCUUUGCAAGCAAUGGUAGUGCAUUGGCGAAAUUUCCAUGGCAGAUUUUCUCUUAUUGUUCCAGUUUCUCGACAGAUAACUAACUUGAAAGAAAAAGGAUCCAUGUCAACCAAAGAUAACCUGAUUCAUGAACUUUGUGGUAAAUGAUAUGCCAAAUUUUGUGGGAACCAUAGCUACACCACGCUUUUUCCACCGAUUAUGACUAUUAAAUUCGUCAGCUUCUCUGCGGGCCUUUAAGAAGUUGCACGAUACUUUCAGCUCUUUCCAGAGCUGAUGCAAUGUGCAGUGCUGAAGAGUCUGACAGUAAUGGGUGACUGAUCCUUCCACUUGAAAGUUCAUCUCCUAAAGUAAAGUAUAUACACCAGAAAAUAUUAAGAUAAGAAACUGAUAAAAGGAGGACAACUUCCUAUAAACUUUCAGGAGAUGGAGAUGUUUAGAAAAUAUUCAACUCACUUUGAUUUCUUCAGGGCUUUUAUUAAGCUCAGCUGCGAUUCUUUGAAUCCAGUUUUCAGUUAUAAGCAUACCUUGGGGGCCUCCAAACCCUCGGAAAGCAGUGUUGCUAGGAAAAUUAGUAAAGCAAACAUUCCCAACAAUCCUUACAUGCGGGAUCUCAUAAACGUUAUCCGAGUGAAACAUGGCACGUUCAAGAACAGAAAGGGAGAGAUCCAAAGAGUUGCCACCAUUGUUGUAAAUUUCAAGGUCCAACGCCAAUAUUUUUCCUUCGUUCGUAAAUCCAACCUUUAAGAUAGCAGAACACAAUAAAAAAAGGAAUUGUUUAGUUUGUCUAACAAUCUAUUCCCACUGUUUCUUCUACUGACAACCGUUUCUUUCCAUUUCAUUGCUCACUGCCUAAAAAUUCCGGGGAAAUAACUGGAAAUACCUUGUACUUUCCAAGAAAACUAUGACGAUGACCAGUUAUCAUCAUGUCCACAUCUCGGUCCAGUAUGAGUUUCACAGGUCGAUUCAAUAGGUAGGAAGGAACAGAAGCUGCCGCAGCAAUGAAAGCUGAUCUUGUUUCUUUACCACCAAAGCCACCACCAAUUCGUUUGGUUUUGCAUACCACUUUAGACAUCGGAAGACCAAGAACAUGCGACACAUAUUUCUGGUGCUUUUGAGGAGCCUGCAUAUAAAUCACAACCACCAACAUUUGCUUAAGCAGAGACAACAUUAUCAUAUAAUAUCUUAAACUAGCUGAUGCCUAAUAGUUUUCUUGUACAGAGACUUAAUGGUCAUGUACUGGUCCGACAAACCAAGAAUAAAAAUGAAUUCCACUCAGUAAAGUAUAUGGCAGUACACUAAUAAUAUGCUUACCUGUGUGGAUGAAAUCAUAUGAACUUCGCUGCCCCCAUCUACUGUCCAAACCAAACUACCAUUAGGCUCCAAGUAGAAGUGUUCCUGACCACCCAUUUGAACCUCUCCCUCUAUUACCCUGUCACACUGACCAGAUUGAAAACACAGCUCGACAUCCCCUUUUCUUAGCCUUUUCUCUGUGUUCGGAUGGAAACUUUUAGCAUUAAUAGCCUCCUUGAUUGAUAAUAUUGCUGGUAGUUCCUCAUACCUAACGUCAACUUUUCCUGCUGCAGUUUUUGCAUUUUCAUGUGUAUCCGCGACGACCACACCAAUGACCUGAAAUACCAAAGUCAAUUUAAUGAAAUAAUUGAGACGUAAGAUAUACAUAUAUACUAGAUCAUAUGAGAACUUUCAUUUACUUUUUUAAGAUAUAAACAGUACUAUUAGAAAACUUUGCUCGUUUACUUUCUGGUGAUCAGAAGCAUGCACCAAAAACAGAUUUGCUUAUAAAAAGCAUGUAAAAUUUCUUCUGAGACACAAGGAAGUUCUAGGCUCCAUUGAAAAGCUAAGAAAAAACGUGAAAAUUUAGGUUUCAAAUUUCCUUACUUGUCCCACACACGUGACCACAUCUGUAGCAAAUAAUUCUUCGUCGGGAACAAUUGGUCCAAUCAUAUUAUCCCCAGGAAUAUCUUUGGCAAGAAACAGACCAACAAAACCAGAUGAAGAUUUGGCUGCCGAAUCAUCGAUUGAAAGGAUGCGGGCAUGUGGCACUUUGCUUAGCACAAAGGCAGCAUGUAAGGUAUUAGGAGGUACUGGAGUAUCAUCAGUAUAUUCCGCUUCCCCUGUGACCUACAUAAAAAUAAUAAGUGUGUUGAGAUAAAAUGGUACGCUCUUCUCUACUCAACAACUUAUAGAGAAUUACACCAAAAAGAGACUUUGAUGGGAUAGAGGUUCUUAACUAUCAACGACAAAACCAUCCCAAAGCCAACAAUAUCCAGACACCAAACUUAUCAUUUUUACCAAGCUUAAACAUAUUUUAGAGUUAAGCUUAUGGAGUUGAUAAUGGUGAAGUUUGGAGUUGAGAAAAUAUGAAUACCAAGGAAUAAAAAAGAUACAAUUAAACAGUAGACCUAUGUUAUAUCCUGAAGUGGCUAAGAAAACAACCAGAAUGAGAAUCAAAGUGGAGAACCAAUUUGGGUAAAUGGACCAACAUACCUGCAUUCUCGCUGAAAGAUGCACCUCCGACGAGCCAACAGAUGUUCCCUGCUUUACUGUCUCAUAGUCUUGUUUUCCAAUUCUAGAUAACCGAGGAACAGGUUGCACAGCUGACAUAUGGGAGGGUGGGAAGGUCUCUAUCGCAGAAUUUGCAUUAUUGACAUUAUGAGAAACCCAUAAGAAAAAUUUAAAGAAGAAGCUUAGGGUUAGAGAUUUCCGAAACUCCACCAUUCCCCCAGGAGCAUCUUCCUUAAUCACGACAUCGCUCUGUAUGACCUUAAGCGCAUCCUGCAGAAGAUCUUUAUUCCAAUUCUUUCCAAUUAGAAACUCUUCAGUCUUUCUCGCACACAAAGAAAGAGGAGCCACACCUCCAUAAGCAAUGGAUGCAUCAGAAACGAACAAUUGUUGACCCUUGUCUUCAAGAAACACACGCAUUCCACCAUUGACAAUAGCUAUAUCAUCAUCCCUGCGAUGGGCCUGCUUAAAUUCUUUCACAUACUCUAAGGGUCUUGUCCAUGGAAGGAAUACCGACAACAAGAUCUCGUUGCUCCCCAUAUCCACUUUACGAUAACCGAGGAAGAAAUCUUUUGCAGGUAUAGACCUAACAUCUCCAUUGCAGUUGGUUAUCCGAAACUCUGCUCUUGAAGCCAUCCAAAGAGGAUUUAAAUCAGAUAUUGGACUAGCUGUACAGAUGUUUCCACCAAUGCAAGCAACAUUUCUUAUUUGUGUCCCAGCAAACCACUUCAGCUGUUCGAUAAAAGCCUUGCAUGCUGAUGUUUCAUGUGCAGGACGCUCCUUUACUAUCUUCCUGAAUAACCUCAGGAGUUCAGAAAGUCUCAAAGCUGAACCAACCUCUAUCCCAUUGUCAUUGACAUUCAAUGCGUUGAGUUCUGGGACUUGAGCAACAGAGAUCAGCACCUGAUACUGUAACCUCUUCAAUCUCAUUUCGAUUCCCACCUCUGUAUUACCUACCAGUAGUUUUGCAUCAGGAUAAUUUGCUUUGAGCUCAAGCAAGUUCUGAAGACAUACGGGUCUAUACCAGGUAAUCCCCCCAUUUCCCCUUAACUUUAAGGGAGUUAACUUCCUCAGCAAAAGUUCAGGGGGGAAAAUAAGCUCCUUAUCUGUAUACUUAGCUCCAUCUAUAUCACUAUAAGAGAUUGACUGAAAUCUAUCUUCAUUACAACUGGCAACUUCAUUUGUUGUUUUUGAUCCACAAGAGCAAGGUUUGCCAGUAGAUGGGCAAAUAGUAGAACCAUCUUGAAGGCUAAGUGAAGAUACACCACAGUAGAGAGCAUCAUCAGAUUUUGCAAAAACCCGAAACGCAUCAACAAUGGGUCGAUAACCAGUACAACGACAUAGAUUUCCUGCAAGACAUUCUUCAAUCUCCUCCUCAGAAGGUGAGUUUUUACUUGACCUCAACAACGAAUACAUGGACAUGAUAAACCCGGGAGUACAAAACCCACAUUGGGAACCAUGGGAAGAUGCCAAAGACUCCUGAGAGAAUCAAGAUCAUAACAGUGACAAAAGAAUCUCCGCAAAAUAAGAAGAAAUAGAACCUGAGAGAAGUAAAUCUUACCUGGACAGGGUGCAAGCCAAGUUUGCGAUGCCCAAGUCCCUCAAUGGAUAUUACAUGCAUCCCUUCUACAGAAUAGAGAGGUGCUAGGCAAGCGUUGACAGCAUAAUGCCUGCAAUAAAAGUUUCCGUAUGAACAGAGAAAGAAUCAAUAAGAAGGCGCAAAUAUAAACUAAACAAAGCCAACAUAUAGGAGGGACAGAUACGCACACAGAGGUCUUUGACUUCCUGUCAUAACUAGACACCAUCACCGUGCAAGCCCCACAACCACCUUCGCCGCAUCCCAGCUUUGUACCGGUCAAUCCUAAAUCUACAAGAAACAUCUGUAAGUUAGAAACUACUUCAUGAUCGUUUAGAAAAAAAGAUUGAUCUCUGCAAGUCAUUUUUUGUCCCCAAGCGAAUCUAGCAAUUGGAGCAUAAUCUUACUCAAAUAAAGACAGUGGUCUAAAAAAACAAAAGAACAGUGGAUCAAACAUAAUCUCGAUUUUUUUAGAAUCCAGAAUCUAUAAGUCAAACAUAAGCCUUUUUCUUUAACAUACUAGAGUAAGAAACUAGGAAUCCAAAAAACAGAAUCUUCAUAGAGAGUAUCAGUUCAAAAUUGAAUUGAAAAUUAAACUUGUUUGAGUACUUGAAAUCAUCCCCAGCAAUUGGAUAUUAAUCAAAGAAGUUGAUACGCACCUCUGAGAUAUUCGAGAAGUGUCAUAUGAGCCAAUCCAUCAGGCAAGACUCUACGAACGCCGUUAACGUACAGUAACGCCUCCGUAAACUCAUCUCCGAUCUCGCCGUCCUUUUUCAGUGAACCCAUUUCUCAAAUUGAGAGAAAACUCGAUUGGGAUCGAAACAAAAACGAAGAUGGCGAAGUUGAUUACGCCAAGUCAAGAGAAGCAAAAAAGGAAUAACAUUUUCCUUUUUUAAUAAUAAAAUUCGUGUUCCUUUCCGAUAGCAUCCACCGAAUGAAUACGCAUCUUCAUCAUCAUCACUUGUGCAGUCAAUUUUUUUUUUUUUUUUUUUUUUUUUGUAAAGAACCCAAAAUAGAAAGAACGAAAUUUAAGUUUGAACAAAGUAAAACAAUUGAAGCCUAUAUGAUGUUUUUACAAUGCCACUUAUAUAUUUGUUUAACUGAAUUUUGCUGAUUAUGUUUCGUUUAUAAAUUGUAGUCUGAUUAGUUAUGACUAGUGUGUUAUUGUCUUGUCUUAAGAUUUACUUUAAAAGAAAUUUUGAUGAUAUUGUUUGUUUUAUUUUUGGUUUUGAUAUAUGAUGAUGAUAAGCGUCUUGCAUUGCUCAGCAUAACUGCUUCACAUUCUUUGCUCACUUGAAGUUAGAGGUUGUUCAGAAAAAAAAAAUCUGAUAUUUUAUCUCGAUGGCGCGCGCAUUUAGUCAACAAAGUUGCUGCUUUGAAGAAACAUGUAUCAUGUUACAUCAUGUAUUUGGAGACUGGAAGUAACUUACAUAUAUGACUUUGACAAAAUGGAUUGAUCCAUCUUUCUCCCCUCUAUUAAAGUUUAAAGCUCAAACACUAAGCUUUGGGCAGAAAUCUGAAUUUGCAAAAGGAGCUGAAAACUCGUCGAAACAAGCCAUCCUGAUACGCUCUGGAGUGGCUGGAGUCUCCAGAGGGAACCAGUUGGUGAGACCUACCUCGCUUCUAGCCGCUUUGAUUGCUUCCUUUAUUGCAAAGAAGGCUGAUGCUGCAAGAAAGAACGGUGGCUCACCCACUGCUUUAGAUGAAUGUAUUGCCUUUGCAUUUGGAUUACCCUGAGUAUAAUCUCAUGUUCAGUUUCAAAUGUGUUGCUACCAAUUUAAACAGCUUGUUCCUAUAGUUGCAUACCUUGAGAAGAGAAACAUUCAGUUGGAACGGCAUGUCGUUGAUGGAAGGUAUUUUGUAGCUUCCGGGUCCGCAAGUGAGUAAACUUCCUGGUUUAAUCCAUUUAUGAGCUGCAUCUCCCCACUUGAGUUCUUCUAGAG